rnacentral:lncRNA from 1 species
ACACUUCUUUGAGUUCUUUCGACAGCCCAUCAAGCAAAACCUGCCAAAAACUAAACCCUACAUAAUCGGAAAAAAAAAAAUCAACAGUGUUCGAAAGGUUUUUUUAACCCCCAAAACACUCCAACCCUGGAGCCCAAAACAUGGAUCUGAUAGAAGCCGCGAAUAGGCUCUCGUUCCAGAUCGGAUUCUUUGGCCACAAUAGCCACUUCGGGCUUGAGUCCCUCUCCACCGUUGAAGGCUCCUACCCCGUCAACUCUCUCCUUGAUUUCAUUCUGGUCAGUUCUCUCCUUCCACUUUGCAAUUCCGCUGCCAAUUUUAUUUUCGUCCAGGGUUUGCCUUCGCAAAGUCACUCCCUUUUACUUCUUAAUUUGCAUAAAUUGGAUGCCAUUAUGUUUAAGUGUCGAAUUGCCGUGUUGGACUUUGGUAUAAGUGCAUUUGGAAGCUGAAUUGUAAUGUGGAGAGUGUAAGUUUGAAAGCUUCAAUGCUUCAAUGGUAAGCAACCAAAGAUUGGUUUCAAAAUUUGUUUCCGGAAACUGGAGACUAGGAGAGUAUUUUCAAUUUGGUGUGAGCGAGAUCAAAUCUUGAUGAUUUGGAUAAAUUCAACUCUAUCUAAAGAUCUCAUUCCUUUGACUAUUGGAAUGGAUGAUUCCAGAUCCCUGUGGCUUUCUCUGGAAAAACGUUUUGCUAGAGCUUCUCGCACACACAUUCAUAGUCUUCGUGCUAAGAUUCAAAUGAUCCAAAAAGGUGAUUCUUCGAUGACUGAUUACCUCAAUUCAAUUAAAGAAAUUACUAACAAAUUGGUUGUUGUGAGUGAACCGAUUUCUGAGUCUGAUUUGGUAGCCUAUAUUCUGUUUGAUCUCCCUGAUGAUUAUGAAUCAUUUGUUGAUUCCAUUGAAACCAGAAAUGAAUCUGUUACUUCUAAUGAACUUCAUGGUUUACUUUUGAGCAAGGAAAUUUCCUUUCAAAAGCGUAAAACUCGAUUGACUGCACCCAAUGCAUCUACUCCAUUUCAUGCUUAUGCUGCUCAAUCCUCCAAUAAUUCUAGUCAUAACUCUUGAUUCCGAGGGAAUUAUUAAGGCCGCAACCAGAAUCGUACCAAAUUCAAUCAAAAUCGCAAUUUUGGGGGAAAUCAGGUGUUGUUCCAACAUAACUUGUAUCAAAUUACUUGUCUAAAAACCUUAAUGGUCGCGAAUCACUAAGACAAUUAGAUAGUUUAAUCGCAGUGAUUAAUAAUUCAGAGCAAGCAUGCAUCCAUUCAUAAGUAAAUUAAUAAAGUCACAUAUUCAUGAUAAGGCUUAAGGCUUCGCUCUAGCAAAAGGACUAGUUACGAACAAUCAUAAUAAAAACUAAAGAAAAUAUAUUAACUAGAAAAAAGAUUGAAAACACCUUUUAAGUUCUCCAAAAUAUUGCGUCUCCUCCCAAUGUUGCAUCCCCCAAACCCUAAUAGCUAAAAAGUCUUAUUUAUACUACUCCAAAUUAAAACCCUCAUAGAAAAGGUUUUUUAAAUAACAAAAGGAUAACUAGAAAUUAUAUUCAUAUUCUGACUAGGAAAUCUGCCCAUAAAAAAGAUAGCCACGUUCCUGCCCAUAAAAAAGAAAAUCAUGUUCUUUCAUCACUUCAUUGCCAUGAAUUUGGCAAAGAAGAUUCGUCAAAGGUUCAAAUAAAAAAUCUAUCUAAACCCUAAACAUUGUUAGAAACCAAUCAAAUAUCAAGUAUAUAAUAUAUAACAAUUGUACAGUUUAUUUCUAAUAGAACUUUCACAAAAGAUACAAUAUAUCUCACAAUAUGAACAAUUAAUAAAAUUGAAUAAUAAAUCACAAAAAAACACUGACUUGUUGUUUGAAGAUAGAGGCUUGCAAAAGCAAUCUCCUAAGACAGAAAUUCGUCCAUGCACCAGUGCAGCAGUUCUAUGGACGUCUAUCUUGCAGGAUACAACUAUCUAAUUUAAGUUCUUGCACUCGAACUUGGAUUCUUGUCAAAUUGGUUGCAGUGUUUCUUUGUGAAGUAUGAAAAAGGAGGCGAUGAAAUUGUUGUUUUGGUUUCUGAUUUGACAGCCAUAUUUAUAAUGGCGUAAUGGAGCAGUUAAAGAUGUUCAUGUUUAUCCUUAAGAACGGUUGUAAAUGUUCCCGUGAUCAGUUUUAUCCUUUCGGAAAAAACUGAAUGCAAAAAUAAAAAAUGUAAAAAUGAUACUUGUGUUUUUCGUCCAUCCGAGCCCCAAGGACAAUCUUUGACAUUUAAUAUGCACUCAAACUAUCCAAGUCUAGGACCUAAGGUCCAUAACUUUGGCCCAAUUUCUUUCAAACCAUAAGUGUGGAAACACACUUAUAGAGUGGAUCUUCUAAAGAGGAAUAGGCGAUUUGGGAGUAAGAAUCCCACAAGUUUCACAAGUUCCAACAAACAUUAGAUAGAAAUUUUAACAAACUUUAAAUUAAUUAUUAUUAUUUUCACUAAACAUGCAAUACAAAGCACGUUUUAGUGCUCUUUCAUUGUAAGUUCGGUUUCCUUAUUGGGAAAAAAGUUCUAUUUUUAAAUUGAAGCUUUGUGAAAAAUUAUGUAUGUGCAUAUUUUUCUUGUCGAUUAAUUGUCUUUCCAGCUCUAUUCUUGACUAAAAGUUUGUAAUCGGUUUCAUUAAAGACAAUACUAUUUUUAGAAAAAUUAUUACCUGUGUUUGCACCUAAAAUAUGUCAUUCGGGCUAAAUAUGACAAGAUAUGACAUUUGGAGGAUUACCUAGGAGAAAGGCUAACUUGGAAGGAUGUUUGGCUGCAAGUAGGAGAGUUUGACAUUAAAAUAAUACUUGUCCUUUUUGUUUGGGUGGUGGAGGUUUGCUAAUAGAUUAGUUUAAUCAACAAUUGCAUGUAUUGCAAGUGGAUGGGAGACAAUAUACAGACAUUCUGACAGAGGACAUAUGAAAGAAGCUAGCUUGCUUCUUUUAAUUAUUUUAUUGCAAAUGGGAAAUAGACAUGUGGUGGAGAUGCAACUUGCCUAUUUUAAUAUUAUUUCACAAUGCAAGCUGCAGAGGAGUUUCUUUCGGGCAAGUGCAAUGUUCUCAGCAGUGGGCUUUCUCAUAUAUAUAUAUAAAGAAGCAGAGGCACAAUGAUUAUGGACACUCAACCAAUCAAACAAACAAAUACGCAAACUCUGCUUAAGCCAGAUUUGCAUACACGAAGCUGCAGUUAGCCCCCAACCUUAAUCAUUCUCAGGAUCAGCCAUCACAAAAGCCAUUUUUUAUCUAGUUUAUUAGUUCUGCUGCUCACUAGUAGUAUCGAUCUCAUUUGUAGUCUUUGUGUACAACUCAUUUCCAGUCAUUUAAUCUAUAAGCAAUCUGCAAUAUUAGUCAUUCACUCUCCUCUGCAUUUUACAUAUUAUUCAAUCUCUUCAUAUAAGUAAAAUCCUUAUUUUCAAGGCAAACAAAGAACCUUAAUUUGAGUCACUCUCACUCAAUGACACAAUCUCUUGGUUUGAAGUCAAAUACAGGCACAACCUUAAUCAUUCAAAACCCUUCUACUAGCGGCAGCUAGUAGUGGCACGCCCACACCCACCAAUUUCGUGUUUGAAUAAAUUCUCAGCAUGCCCGCAAGACCCAUGACGAAUUUAGGAAGCGAACAUAUUUUGGCACGCUCGGUG